rnacentral:misc_RNA from 1 species
UUUGCUGCGGCGGGAACACUAAAGGUACUGUGAGGAGGAGUUAUAAUUUGGAAAUGUUAACUGAGGAUUCUCUUCGAAUUUGGAGUCAAAAGCUUCAAGAGUUCAUUGAUUCACUUGGUCGGCCAAAGAGACUUUUUGUGUUAGUGAAUCCUUAUGGCGGAAAGAGAUCUGCAUCAAAGAUUUUUAUUGAUAGUGUAAAGCCACUACUUGACGAUGCAAAUAUCGACUAUACAGUGCAAG